UACGUAGGGUGGCGAGCGUUGUCCGGAAUUAUUGGGCGUAAAGAGCUCGUAGGCGGUCUGUCGCGUCGAAUGUCGAAAACCCGGGGCUCAACUCCGGGCUUGCAUUCGAUACGGGCAGGCGUAGAGUUCGGUAGGGGGAGUCUGGGAAUUCCUGGUGUAGCGGUGAAAUGCGCAGAUAUCAGGAGGAACACCGGUGGCAAAGGCGGGACUCUGGGCCGAUACUGACGCUGAGGAGCGAAAGCGUGGGGAGCGAACAGG
rnacentral:rRNA from 1 species